AGAGGACUUGGCGCCUGCAAAUUCAUCUCGGUCUUUCUCGGCAUGAUCGUGUGUUUUACUAAACACAUGGUUUACCGUAUGCACUUUUGAACAGAUCAAAAUAUGCGAUGGUAAUUGUCGAUUCUUUGUAUAAUCCUCUAGUUAUUUUCCUUAGUUAAACUCGCAUCUCCCAGCUGGAGGAAACAUGCGUGCUGUAGAACAACGUCACUACCCCCACUGAGGCACGUUUACGUCCUACUGCGCAGACUUUGCGCCAUUGUGUCACAUGAUUCAAAACGGAGGGAGAAAAUGCAUGCUGUGGUGGUACCGAACCAAACGCCGCCAUGGGGUGGUCUGCAACUCCCCGCUUUUUGGUAGUGGACCUUCAACAAAGACGAAGGUUGGGGUAGAAAAUAUGAUCUAAGCUGUAGCUACCUAGCAUUGUUGAGAGGAGAACCGUGGGACUGGCGGAUCCAUCUUGGCACGCGUUGAAGACCACAGUAGUUACCUAGUGAGCUGAAUGGCAUUUAUAGCCACUCUUGAGUCUAACGCUGAUGGAUGGAUUGGCCUGGGGUUGUCCAUUCAUUUUGAUGCAAACACUGACGGGUCUAGUCUGAUUAAUCAGGCUGUAAUGCCAAAUUAAUUGGUAUAUACAGCCUGAAACUAAUGCCUGCAAAAUCAUGUCAAUGUUCCUGACAAGCUAGAAUAAAAUCACUUUAAAAAUGA